ensembl:lncRNA
GUGAUGGAUUUCUAAGGAACUUGAAAAUCAUGUAGUCUCCAAUGGGAAAAACUGGGAAAGACUUGAUAAUUCAUAUAUUAGUUGGGAUUCUCCAGAGAAACAGAACCAAAAGUGUGGAUGGAUAUAUAGAUAAGAGAGACAAAAAGAGAGAGAGGGAGAUUGUAAGGAACUGGUUCAUGUAACUGUGAAAGCUGACAAAUCUAAAAUAUGCAUGAUAUACUGGCAAACUAAAAACCCAACAAAGAGUUGAUGCUGUAAUGCAAAUCUGAAGGCAGUCUGUUGGCAGAACAUUCUUUUCUUUGAGGGAGGUCAAUCUUUUUUCUAUUCAGACCUUCAAAUGAUUGUGAGGCCCACCCACAUUAAGGAGAGUAAUAUUUGUUACUCAAAAUCCACUGUUUUAAAUGUUAAACUCAUCUAAAAAAUAUUUUUACAGAAACAUAUAGAAUGAUGUUUGAAGAAAUAUCUGGGUACUGUGACCUAACCAAGUUGACGCAGAAAAUUAACAAUUAUAGUCCAUAUAGCGCAUCUCUUCUCUUUUACUGUGCUUAACUAGACCGUUCAGGUAUGACCUAAAUCAAAUCCCUUAUGAUUACUCAGUGGAAGUGAGAAAUAGAUUUAAGGGACUAGAUCUGAUAGAGUGCCUGAUGAACUAUGGACGGACGUUCAUGAUAUUGUACAUGAGACAGGGAUCAAGAACAUCCCCAUGGAAAAGAAAUGCAAGAAAGCAAAAUGACUGUCUGAGGAGGCCUUACAAAUAGCUGUGAAAAGAAGUGAAAAGCAAAGGAAAAAAGAAAAGAAAUAUCCAUUUGAAUGCAGAGUUCCAAAGAAUAGCAAGAAGAGAUAAGAAAGCCUUCCUCAGCGAUCAAUGCAAAAAAAGAGGAAAACAAUAGAAUGGGAAAGGCGAGAGAUCUCUUCAAGAAAAUUAGAGAUACCAAGGGAACAUUUCAUGCAAAGAUGGGCUCGAUAAAGGACAGAAAUGCUAUGGACCUAAGAGAAGCAGAAGAUAUUAAGAAGAGGUGGCAAGAAGACACAGAAGAACUGUACAAAAAACAUCUUCAUGACCAAGAUAAUCAUGAUGGUGUGAUCACUCACCUAGAGCCAGACAUCCUGGAAUGUGAAUCAAGUGGGCCUUAGAAAGUAUCACUAUGAACAAAGCUAGUGGAGGUGAUGGAAUUUCAGUUG